UACGGAGGGUGCAAGCGUUGUCCGGAUUUACUGGGCGUAAAGGAUGCGUAGGCGGACAUUUAAGUCAGAUGUGAAAUACCCGAGCUUAACUUGGGUGCUGCAUUUGAAACUGGGUGUCUAGAGUGCAGGAGAGGUAAGUGGAAUUCCUAGUGUAGCGGUGAAAUGCGUAGAGAUUAGGAAGAACACCAGUGGCGAAGGCGACUUACUGGACUGUAACUGACGCUGAGGCAUGAAAGCGUGGGGAGCAAACAGG
rnacentral:rRNA from 1 species